AAAGUUGUCCAUAAAUUGAGA
rnacentral:piRNA from 1 species